UGGCACUUUCACACCAUGCCCAGGUGGCAGAGCAUGAAGAGAAGAGCCAGCCCUUGUUACCAUCCUCAUGUUUUGGUGCUGCAGAGUACAGCUGGCUGGACCCAUGUACUGCUGAGGGAUGGACAGUGAGCACCAGCACAAAGCCACUGCUGCAGCUUCUCAUGUCCCAUCUGACUAAAAACCACUGCCCAGGGACAUCUGCCAAGGUACAGGUGUGACCUGGAGACUCAGAGCAGAGCAAGGACACAAUUUGCAAAAACUCUUCCCUGGCAUCACCCCUGGUCCAGACAAGAGCUCCAGCCUGCACUGCUCACCCAGUAAGCAGGCAAGUUCCUAAAAGAUUUGAUUCAAAAAAGUGACCAGGGAAGAGGAGUGCUGGAUCAGCCCUGCCAGUGUGACCUGGAAAUUCAAGGAAGUUACUUAGCUGUCUGCUGCUGGUUUAAUUUCUCUGUCUGUCACUGAAAAAUGUUGUAUUAAAUCUGCUGGAAAAU